rnacentral:rRNA from 1 species
UACGUAGGGUGCAAGCGUUAAUCGGAAUUACUGGGCGUAAAGCGUGCGCAGGCGGUUUUGUAAGGCUGGCGUGAAAUCCCCGGGCUUAACCUGGGAAUUGCGUUGGAGACUGCAAGGCUGGAGUCUGGCAGAGGGGGGUAGAAUUCCACGUGUAGCAGUGAAAUGCGUAGAGAUGUGGAGGAACACCGAUGGCGAAGGCAGCCCCCUGGGUCAAGACUGACGCUCAUGCACGAAAGCGUGGGGAGCAAACAGG